UACGGGGGGGGCAAGCGUUGUUCGGAAUUACUGGGCGUAAAGGGCUCGUAGGCGGCCAACUAAGUCGGAUGUGAAAUCCCCAGGCUCAACUUGGGAACUGCAUCCGAUACUGGAUGGCUUGAAUUCGGGAGAGGGAUGCAGAAUUCCAGGUGUAGCGGUGAAAUGCAUAGAUAUCUGGAGGAACACCGGUGGCGAAGGCGGCGUCCUGGACCAACACUGACACUGAUGAGCGAAAGCCAGGGGAGCAAACGGG
rnacentral:rRNA from 1 species